UACGUAGGGGGCAAGCGUUGUCCGGAAUUAUUGGGCGUAAAGAGCUCGUAGGCGGUUUGUCGCGUCUGCUGUGAAAACCCGAGGCUCAACCUCGGGCCUGCAGUGGGUACGGGCAGACUAGAGUGCGGUAGGGGAGAUUGGAAUUCCUGGUGUAGCGGUGGAAUGCGCAGAUAUCAGGAGGAACACCAAUGGCGAAGGCGGAUCUCUGGGCCGUAACUGACGCUGAGGAGCGAAAGCAUGGGGAGCGAACAGG
rnacentral:rRNA from 1 species